GUGACUGCAGUCAUUAGCAGGCUCCUCACAAAGCUGCUUCUUCCCCGUGUUUUCUGAGGAGGUGAGAAUAUUGAAGAUCAGAGAAGCAAUACAUGGACCACCAAAUUUUCCAGGGAGUAAAUGGGGAACCAGAAUUUUUACCAAGGAGAAAUGAUUCACACGUGCCUCAAAAAUUGAGUGCUUGGAUUUGAAUGUUGAAAAGAUGUUCUUGGGGCUGGCACUGUGGUGCAGUGGGUUAAAGCCCUGCCCUUAAGCGCCAGCAUCCCAUAUGGGCGCUGGUUCGAGACCCGGCUGCUCCACUUCCUGUCCAGCUCUCUGCUAUAGCCUGGAAAAGCAGCAGAAGAUGGCCCAAGUCCUUGGGCCCCUGCACGCACGUGGGAGACUUGGAAGAAGCUCCUGGCUCCUGGCUUUGGAUCAGCGCAGCUCUGGCCGUUGCGGCCAACUGGGGAGUGAACCAAUGGAUGGAGGACUCUCUCUCUCUCUCUCUCUCUCUCUCUCUCU